AAAUUGAAGAGUUUGAUCAUGGCUCAGAUUGAACGCUGGCGGCAGGCCUAACACAUGCAAGUCGAACGGUAACAGGAAGCAGCUUGCUGCUUCGCUGACGAGUGGCGGACGGGUGAGUAAUGUCUGGGAAACUGCCUGAUGGAGGGGGAUAACUACUGGAAACGGUGGCUAAUACCGCAUAACGUCGCAAGACCAAAGAGGGGGACCUUCGGGCCUCUUGCCAUCAGAUGUGCCCAGAUGGGAUUAGCUAGUUGGUGAGGUAACGGCUCACCAAGGCGACGAUCCCUAGCUGGUCUGAGAGGAUGACCAGCCACACUGGAACUGAGAGACGGUCCAGACUCCUACGGGAGGCAGCAGUGGGGAAUAUUGCACAAUGGGCGCAAGCCUGAUGCAGCCAUGCCGCGUGUAUGAAGAAGGCCUUCGGGUUGUAAAGUACUUUCAGCGGGGAGGAAGGUGUUG
rnacentral:rRNA from 1 species